GGCUAUGAUUGUCCAAACGCAAUUCUUGUAUAAACAAUAUGAAAUCAAGAAUUGUGUGGGGACAUCAGCGCU
rnacentral:pre_miRNA from 1 species